UACGGAGGGUGCAAGCGUUAUCCGGAUUCACUGGGUUUAAAGGGUGCGUAGGUGGGCAGGUAAGUCAGUGGUGAAAUCUCCGGGCUUAACUCGGAAACUGCCAUUGAUACUAUCUGUCUUGAAUACCGUGGAGGUUAGCGGAAUAUGUCAUGUAGCGGUGAAAAUGCUUAGAUAUGACAUAGAACACCAAUUGCGAAGGCAGCUGGCUACACGAAUAUUGACACUGAUGCA
rnacentral:rRNA from 1 species